rnacentral:rRNA from 1 species
CCUACGGGCGGCAGCAGUGAGGAAUAUUGGUCAAUGGGCGCUAGCCUGAACCAGCCAAGUAGCGUGAAGGAUGACUGCCCUAUGGGUUGUAAACUUCUUUUAUAUGGGAAUAAAGUGCAGUAUGUAUACUGCUUUGCAUGUACCUUAUGAAUAAGGAUCGGCUAACUACGUGCCAGCAGCCGCGGUAAUACGUAGGGGGCAAGCGUUAUCCGGAUUUACUGGGUGUAAAGGGAGCGUAGACGGUGCGCCAAGUCUGGAGUGAAAUGCCGCAGCUUAACUGCGGAACUGCUUUGGAAACUGGCGAACUAGAGUGCGGGAGGGGUAAGCGGAAUUCCUAGUGUAGCGGUGAAAUGCGUAGAUAUUAGGAGGAACACCGGUGGCGAAGGCGGCUUACUGGACCGUAACUGACGUUGAGGCUCGAAAGCGUGGGGAGCAAACAGGAUUAGAUACCCCAGUAGUC